CUGUGCUGAUGAGCUGUGAUUGUGUCUGACCUGGUAUUGCUGUUCCUCCGGGAGUAACUCUGACCAGGGUCUGAAGACUGUAAUCUUCUCUCUGAGCAG
ensembl:snoRNA